rnacentral:rRNA from 1 species
UCGCAUCCUGGGGCUGUAGUCGGUCCCAAGGGUUGGGCUGUUCGCCCAUUAAAGCGGUACGCGAGCUGGGUUCAGAACGUCGUGAGACAGUUCGGUCCCUAUCCGUCGCGGGCGCAGGAAAUUUGAGAGGAGCUGUCCUUAGUACGAGAGGACCGGGAUGGACGCACCGCUGGUGUACCAGUUGUCUUGCCAAAGGCAUAGCUGGGUAGCUACGUGCGGACGGGAUAAGUGCUGAAAGCAUCUAAGCAUGAAGCCCCCCUCAAGAUGAGAUUUCCCAUGGCGCAAGCUAGUAAGAUCCCUGAAAGAUGAUCAGGUUGAUAGGUCAGAGGUGGAAGCAUGGUGACAUGUGGAGCUGACUGAUACUAAUAGAUCGAGGACUUAACCAAC